rnacentral:rRNA from 1 species
CGUGAACAACAUGCCCUUGAGUGGGGGAUAGCCCGCCGAAAGGUGGAUUAAUACCCCAUGGUACCCUCGGGUUAAAGGUGGCUUCGGCUGCCGCUUAAGGAUUGGUUCGCGCCCUAUCAGCUUGUUGGUGAGGUAAUAGCUCACCAAGGCUACGACGGGUACCUGGUUUGAGAGGACGAUCAGGCACACUGGAACUGAGACACGGUCCAGACACCUACGGGUGGCAGCAGUCGAGAAUAAUUCACAAUGGACGAAAGUCUGAUGGUGCAACGCCGCGUGGAGGAUGACGGUCCUAGGACUGUAAACUCCUGUCAUCAGGGAGUAAGACCUGGAGGUUAAUAGCCUACAGGGUUGAUAGUACCUGAAGAGGAAGGGACGGCUUACUUCGUGCCAGCAGCCGCGGUAAUACGAAGGUCCCAAGCGUUGUUCGGAAUCACUGGGCGUAAAGGGAGCGUAGGCUGUACGGUAAGUCAGAUGUGAAAUCCCGGGGCUCAACCCCGGAACUGCAUCCGAUACUGCCGUACUAGAGGAUUGGAGAGGUA